UGGGGUAAGAGGGGUCGCGAUUCAAUCUGGGAAGGCAAAGACAGUUUUUAGUUUCUACUUUUUUUUUUCCUUCCAGGCAAGGUAGGUGGGGAGACUGCAAUUCGACCCUCGCUCGGCGGGCAAGGUAGGUGGGAAGACUGUGAAUUAGUGCUUGCUCGCCGUCCGGACGCUAGCACACGUAUCGGACGUGCGGGCGCUAGCACUUCCGAUUCUAAAAUUGUGUCCAUAAUUCACUUUUGAGGUCCCUAUGAAUCUCAUUCUUUUAUUAGUGAACGAAAAUAUGACCUUUUCCCUGA
rnacentral:lncRNA from 1 species